UGAGGUUGUUAAAGCCUGACCAAGGGAAGACCAAAUUGUAGCAUUAGUUGGAAGCAUCAAGGAAUUCGUUUCCCAUCAAACCUUCAUUAUCUUUCAUGCAUAUCAUAACAUCAUUUGCAUUGUUCUGUUUUAUUUUAUUUAGGUUUCACUGGAUAUCAUCUUAAGGUAUUUUGGAUAUUAUUCCUCGUUGUACAUUUUGGAUUAUUAUAUAUAUGUUAUGGUUUUGCCAUUUUU
rnacentral:lncRNA from 1 species